GACCCGCUAGCUCAGCCGGAAGAGCACCUGACUUUUAAUCAGGGGGUCCCGGGUUCGAGUCCCGGGCGGGUCA
rnacentral:tRNA from 1 species